GUUAUUCUGGGCAUGGCAUCAAUGAAAGCUUCGACGCAGGCAAAAUUCCAGAUUUUUGGGAGCCGCCGGGGGGGAUCGGGAUGAAAGAGAGGGAUCGGAUGGCGGAGUUAAGGGCAACGACUUCUGGGUUUGUUUCCGAUAGCGAUUGUCGUUGCUCCGCCACUUGCAGACCAAAGAAAAACAACCCCAUAUGGCGAUCUCUGUCAAAAUUUUCCUUUAUGCUUGUUUGGUUCAUCGCUGAAGCUCGACGUAGAGAUAAAGAGAGAAGAUG
rnacentral:misc_RNA from 1 species